GAGGAAAGCGGGCGGCGUGCUUAACACAUGCAAGUCGAACGGAAAGGCCCUGCUUUUGUGGGGUGCUCGAGUGGCGAACGGGUGAGUAACACGUGAGUAACCUGCCCUUGACUUUGGGAUAACUUCAGGAAACUGGGGCUAAUACCGGAUAGGAGCUCCUGCUGCAUGGUGGGGGUUGGAAAGUUUCGGCGGUUGGGGAUGGACUCGCGGCUUAUCAGCUUGUUGGUGGGGUAGUGGCUUACCAAGGCUUUGACGGGUAGCCGGCCUGAGAGGGUGACCGGCCACAUUGGGACUGAGAUACGGCCCAGACUCCUACGGGAGGCAGCAGUGGGGAAUAUUGCACAAUGGGCGGAAGCCUGAUGCAGCAACGCCGCGUGCGGGAUGACGGCCUUCGGGUUGUAAACCGCUUUCGCCUGUGACGAAGCGUGAGUGACGGUAAUGGGUAAAGAAGCACCGGCUAACUACGUG
rnacentral:rRNA from 1 species